CUGCAAUGCGGAGAACAGGCCUCGAAUCAACUCGGGAGCAUCCAGAUCACCUCCUUUAAAGAAAAGGGUCUAGACCCCACACACGCCACUCGGUAAG
rnacentral:rRNA from 1 species